UCCUGUAGUUAGCUUCACUUCUUGAGCCUU
rnacentral:piRNA from 1 species